GCGGGCAUAGCCGAACGGUAUAGGCGGUGCACUCAAAACGCAUGACAUUUGUUGGUUCGACUCCAACUGCCCGCACCA
rnacentral:tRNA from 1 species